GUAAACGCCAGCAACCGCCGAGGGUCCUCAGACGCCUGAGAACAUCCUCCAAGAAGGAGGAAACCAGAGCAAGCCAACAGACAGAAAGGAAAAGAGACCAGCGAACUGGAGGAAAGACGGCUCGCAACCACCAAGGGUCCUCAGACGCCUGAGAACAUCCUCUAAGAGGGAGGAAACCAGAGCAAGCCAACAGACGGAAAGAAAAGAGACAACAGCGAACUGGAGGAAAGACGGCUCUCGAGAGUCCCUUGGGUGGAGAGAUCCAACCAGGCCACCCUAAAGGAGAUCAGUCCUGAAGAUUCAUUGAUGCUGAAACUGAAACUCCAACGCUUUGGCCACCUGAUGUGAAGAACUGACUCUUUGGAAAAGACCCUGAGGCUGAGAAAGAUUGAAGGCGGGAGGAGAAGGGGACGGCAGUGGAUGAGAUGGUUGGAUGGCAUCACCGACUCAGUGGACAUGAGAUUGAGCAAGCUCCAGGAGUUGGUGAUGGACAGGGAGGCCUGGUGUGCUGCAGUCCACGCACGGUCACAGGGGCAGAGUCCUCUUACUGCUCAGCACAGAGAAUGGUCCACCCUGCUCUCCACGGCACACUCACGGGGCAGAGUCCUCAGACUGCUCGGCACAGUUUCUCUGAUGGUCUUUUUAAAAGGUCGGAAGAAAAAAUUAGAGAGAGUGAAAAUUAUAUCACAGUAGCUUUCUAACCACUUUAUACACAUAACGAGACUAAAGGUGACCCUUUUAUGAUUUGUUACAGAUGGAGAAGUGCUUCCAGAUCCCAGCCUGGAACACCCUGUCCUCCCUCAUCACCAGGUCCUCCCUCAUCACUAGGUCCUCCCUCAUCACCAGGUCCUCCCUCAUCACCCUGUCCUCCCUCAUCACCCUGUCCUCCCUCAUCACCAGGUCCUCCCUCAUCACCCUGUCCUCCCUCAUCACCCUGUCCUCCCUCAUCACCAGGUCCUCCCUCAUCACCAGGUCCUCCCUCAUCACCAGGAAACACGUUUUAAAAAUAACAAAAGAAAGAAAGGAGGAAGGGAAGGAAGGAAGAAACAGGGAAAUGUUUUCUCCCGUCCAAAAUGCGAACAUUUCAAAGAAAGGGUCAUGGAUGUCUGUCUUUCACGACAGGAUGAGUGACUGAAUUUCAGUCUAUCUCUUAAUAUAUAGUCAGUCCAAAAAGAAAGUUACCGAUCAUCCUUGAACUGGGGACAAAGAAUGCUCUUUAUUCACUACAUGACUCAUGUAAAAACUAAGCAAUACCUUGUCGUCUUAAAUGGAGAAAGUCAAAAUCUGUCUUAGGUCAUGAAUAUUAAUAAAGAUAAAGUUAAAAUGAAUUUUAUAAUACAG
ensembl:lncRNA